ensembl:lncRNA
ACAAGAUCAGGCUGGCUUGAUGUGGAUCUAGUGAGAAGCUGCUUCCUGGUUCCCACACGUCCCAGCCCCUGCGCCUCCGACUUUUGGCUCUGUCCUCAGGCGGCAGAAGGAACACGGGAACCCCUUGGGGCCUCUUUUAGAAGAGCCCUAAUCCUAUUCAUGAGGACUCUCCCCUUGUGACCUAAUCACCUCCCAAAGGCCUCACCACCAAAUACCAUCACAAUGGAAAUUAGGUUUCAGCAUAAGUAUUUUAAGAGGACAGAUUCAGUCCAUGGCUUUUUUUUUUUUUUUUUUUGGAAGAUUGUAUUUAUUAACUUGAGAGAGUGUGUGAACAGGGGAGAGGGGGAGAGGGAGAGGGAGAAGCAGACUCCCUGUUGAGCGCGGAGCUCAGUGCGAGGAUCCCAGGAUUGAUGCUGGGCUCCAUCCGAGGACCCUGGGGUCAGGGCCCGAGCCAAAGGAAGACGCUUAACCGACUGAGCCCCCCAGUGUUUCAUCCUUCGCCACAAGGGACUAUUGACAAUGCAUCGGGCCUUGGACUUGCAGGAGGGGCUGGCCAUGGGGUGCGAAGUCUUGCUGCAUUUCCCAGGGUGAGCUUAAUGAGGAGAGGAAGGCCUGUUUGUAGGGAAGAGGCCCUUAGGGCGUGUUUCAGGGCUCUGGAUGGCGGGACUCUGUCCUGUCAGGGACUUCUGGAGGUGGAUGGGUCAGCUGGGCUUCAGGCGUAGGCUGAUUUAGUAAGCCACGGCCCCUACCUCUCCAGGUGUGUCUUGUGAGACCUUUACCCACUUCGGUGUUCAGGUUCUACCCAAGGUCUUUGUGCUCCUUGAAUGCCCCGUGCCAUCUCUCCUCUGAGGACUUGGAGCAUGCUGCUCCUGCUCCCGUCUGCCUUUCCCUGUGUUCACCUGGCUAACGCUCAUCUGUCAUGAUUUCCACCAGGCUCCCCCAACACCCCUUCACCCCUCUGCUGCUCCUCUCAGCAGAUGGCACAGAUCCUGGGCAGUUUCUGCUUGUUUAUUUGUGUCUGUUUUGUAAGUCCCACCAGGGCAGGACACCUAUCUAUCUUGUCCUCCAACAUGUCCUGCAGGCCUAGUAGGUACUUAAAAAAAAGGAGGUGGAUCACAGUAGAUUAAAUGGGUUUUAGCUAUAACUUAUAAUCCCUCACUUCACAGGUGAACAACUCUGGCUCAGAGAAGCCCGGCGGUUUAUCUCAGGCCGGAACUAGUUAGUGGCAGCAUGAGGACUGCAACUCAAGUCAUCUGGCUCUAGGUCGGUCUUGUCUUGACAACGCCACAAAAAGUCCACGUGUCCUUCACGCUGUUAUAUUCAACCUGGGGCAGUUCUUAAAAAUACAAACUUUUAAUUAAAAUAGACAACAUAGAAAAGUGUGCAGAUUGUUAAGUGCACAGUGUGGCAAAUUUCUCAGAGUUAACACAUUAGGACACGUUUUGAUGAUUAGAUAGCAACUAAAAUAUGUAUAAUUAGUAUAAACUUCAUAGACUUGGUGUGAAAAUAGUCACAUUUUCUUGUCCAACUUAAUCAUGUUAGCUCUUAAAUUAGCUCACCUGCAGAGGCAGCUGAGCAAGGAUAAUCCACUCCCUAGUUGUUAAGUGCCCGUCUCUUAGGAUCGUAAAGAUGCAACUCUUGGCCCCUUCUGUUCCCAUCUUAGCUGCCUCAGACCAGGUCCCGGGAUCCACCACCUCUCAGACCCAGAACUCCUGUCGGCCU